CUACUUCCUGCAGCAACGGGACACCCUGCGGCGCCAUGUGCAGAAACAGGAGGCCGAGAACCAGCAGCUGGCAGAUGCCGUCCUGGCAGGGCGGAGGCAGGUGGAGGAGCUGCAGCUACAGGUCCAGGCCCAGCAGCAGGCCUGGCAGGUGCGAAGCCCAGCGGUGCAGAGUCCAGCAAAGGUGCAGCCUUUGUGUCCAAGCAGGAGGGCAGCGAGGUAGUGAAGAGACCCAGGCGCUACCUGUAUCAAUGGCUGGGAGCCCCAGUCCCCUACCCGGAUCCCCUGGAGCCCAGGAGGGAGGUGUGUGAGCUCAAUCCGGACUGUGACGAGUUGGCUGACCACAUCGGCUUUCAGGAGGCCUAUCGGCGCUUCUACGGCCCGGUCUAGGGUGUCGCUCUGCUGGCCUGGCCGGCAACCCCAGUUCUGCUCCUCUCCAGGCACCCUUCUUUCCUCUUCCCCUUGCCCUUGCCCUGACCUCCCAGCCCUAUGGAUGUGGGGUCCCCAUCAUCCCAGCUGCUCCCAAAUAAACUC
rnacentral:lncRNA from 1 species